UACGGAGGGGACUAGCGUUGUUCGGAAUUACUGGGCGUAAAGCGCACGUAGGCGGAUUUGUAAGUCAGGGGUGAAAUCCCGGGGCUCAACCUCGGAACUGCCUUUGAUACUGCAAAUCUCGAGUCCGGAAGAGGUGAGUGGAAUUCCUAGUGUAGAGGUGAAAUUCGUAGAUAUUAGGAAGAACACCAGUGGCGAAGGCAGGUCUCUGGGCUGACACUGACGCUCAUGCACGAAAGCGUGGGGAGCAAACAGG
rnacentral:rRNA from 1 species